rnacentral:rRNA from 1 species
UACGGAGGAUCCAAGCGUUAUCCGGAAUUACUGGGCGUAAAGAGUUGCGUAGGCGGUUAAGUAAGCAGUGUGUGAAAUGAUGGGGCUCAACCCCAUGUCCAUACAUUGAACUGCUUUGACUAGAGAAUGGGAGAGGUCGCUAGAAUUCCUGGUGUAGGGGUGAAAUCCGUAGAUAUCAGAGGAAUACCGAUGGCGUAGGCAGGCGACUGGCCCAUUUCUGACGCUCAGGCACGAAAGCGUGGGGAGCGAUCGGG